AUGAACUGUCAUAAAAAUGUGUUAGGAACCAAAGGUUAUGAGGAACUGAAUUCUGUGGUUUUGAGGUCUAUA
rnacentral:snoRNA from 1 species